CCUGGUCUUGACAUAGUAAGAACUUUCCAGAGAUGGAUUGGUGCCUUCGGGAACUUACAUACAGGUGCUGCAUGGCUGUCGUCAGCUCGGUGUCGUGAGAUGUUGGGUUAAGUCCCGCAACGAGCGCAACCCUUUUCCUUAUUGCCAGCGGGUUAAGCCGGGAACUUUAAGGAUACUGCCAGUGACAAACUGGAGGAAGGCGGGGACGACGUCAAGUCAUCAUGGCCCUUACGACCAGGGCUACACACGUGCUACAAUGGUCGGUACAAAGGGUUGCUACCUCGCGAGAGGAUGCUAAUCUCAAAAAGCCGAUCGUAGUCCGGAUUGGAGUCUGCAACUCGACUCCAUGAAGUCGGAAUCGCUAGUAAUCGCGGAUCAGAAUGCCGCGGUGAAUACGUUCCCGGGCCUUGUACACACCGCCCGUCACACCAUGGGAGUUUGUUGCACCAGAAGUAGGUAGUCUAACCGCAAGGAGGACGCUUACCACGGUGUGGCAGAUGACUGGGGUGAAGUCGUAACAAGGUAGGCGUAGAUGA
rnacentral:rRNA from 1 species